rnacentral:piRNA from 1 species
UGAUGUCAGAAUCACAGGAACAGGAUUU